UACGUAGGGUCCGAGCGUUGUCCGGAGUUACUGGGCGUAAAGCGCGCGCAGGCGGCGGUGUUGGCCCGGCGUGAAAGCCCCCGGCUCAACCGGGGAGAGUCGUCGGGGACCGCACCGCUUGAGGGCGGUAGGGGCUGGUGGAAUGCCUGGUGUAGUGGUGAAAUGCGUAGAGAUCAGGCAGAACACCUGGGGCGAAGGCGGCCAGCUGGGCCGUCCCUGACGCUGAGGCGCGAAGGCGUGGGGAGCAAACAGGG
rnacentral:rRNA from 1 species